ACGGGCUCUCCGGCGGCGGCAGAGGACAUCUCUUGCCCGCCUGCCCGCCAGCCCUCAGCGAGGCUUGCCUCCGCUUGAAGCGCCGCAGAGAUGCGAGGGGCGAAGAAGCGCCAGGCACUGCCCGCCAUCGUGCUCCUGCUGCUGGCCUCGGCCCCGCCGCCACCGGGCGCCGAGGGCAGGGACGUGCCCACCGGCGGAGCCGACCGGGGGGCGCUGCUCGAUUUUCUUCUCCAAGCCCUGGGCGACGGCGGCCGCCCGCUGCCGCCCCGCCCGCCGCGGCGGGACCGGGUGAUCUCCCGGCGGUACAUCGGCGGCGUCCCGUCGCCGGACCCUCUCUCCGUCGUCGCUGCCGCCGCCGCCCCCCGGCCGCCGGCGGCCGUCGCCCCGCCACCCCCACGGCUCUUCGCCACCGCCCGACACGGAGAAAUUUUUCCAAGAGAUUCCAGUCUAAAAGACAAGUUCAUAAAACAUUUUACAGGGCCAGUCACAUUUUCAUCAGAGUGUAGCAAGCACUUUCAUCGGCUGUAUCACAACACAAGGGACUGCUCGACACCAGCCUAUUACAAAAGGUGUGCAAGGUUGCUAACGAGAUUAGCAAUGAGCCCUUUGUGUACACAGUCCUAGGAUGUUUGCUGUGAUUCUGUGAUUGCUUCUGCUCCAUCUUCUGGCACAGAGGAUCUGUCUUCGUCACCACCCUCACACUAGCUGAGAGAGGAUAGGGUCAUAGCUGCUGUUUACUGUAAAGGAAUUUAUCUUUUCUUUAACAUUUAAGAGAGUCUUGGAGACUCUCAGCUGCCUUGGAGAACGAGGCUCUCCCACUCAAAGAAUUGACACCAAUUUACUUUCUACCAAGCAGAGAAUUCUGAUUUGCCAAGAAAGUGCCUUGAAAUCUUCCAAGACAGAGAAGACAUCUUUUACCUUUCUGAUUUACAACGUUUUGUUACUAAAUGCUUUUUAUUUUCAUAUAUUUGUCGGACAUUCCAUAUUUGUGUGAAACAUUAUUUUAUUUUCAUUUGUAAAUUUAUUGCCUGUAGUUCAGACAAGCCAAUUAUUUAAAUACACUGUAUAUAAAGAAUACUAAUGAUAUACUGAUUAUGUUUCAACCAUAUGCAGGGAGUUGGUAAAAUUUUGCUGUUUCUCUUAUUCCAUUGUAUUUACAUCAUUCUGCUCAGGCUCUUACUUUCAUUAUUUGCACUAACUUGAAAUGCAGAAGUCUAUGUAACUGAAAUCUGAUUAAGCUGUAAGUGGAGAAGUUUUACUUGCCAUGGAAGAUAUUUUAUAUUAUGAAGCUUUGUUAAUAUAUACAUAUAUAUUAUUGCACAUCAGAAAAAAAUUUGCUCAGAAAUGCACCUUGCUUUCAGGAACAUUUGUAUGACUAUUCUGGAUUGUCAUCAGUUACAUUUGUACUGGCACUUAUGGAAAGAGUUGCAAAUAAUGUAAAUAUAAAGACUGGAAAACUGCAAUGCAGUUUUGGUGGAAUA